AUAACCUGCCCUUAGCUCUGGGAUAAAGCCUGGGAAUCUGGGUCUAAUACCGGAUAUGACUCCUCAUCGCAUGGUUUGGGGGUGGAAAGCUUUAUUGUGGUUUUGGAUGGACUCGCGUCCUAUCAGCUUGUUGGUGAGGUAAUGUCUCACCAAGUCGACGACGGGUAGCCGACCUGAGAGGGUGACCGGCCACACUGGGACUGAGAUACGGCCCAGACUCCUACGGGAGGCAACAGUGGAGAAUAUUACACAAUGGCCGAAAGCCUGAUGCAACGACGCCGCGUGAGGGAUGUCGUCCUUCGGGUUGUAAACCUCUUUCAGUAGAGCAGAAGCGAAAGUGACGGUACCUGCCGAAGAAGCGCCGACUCGGCACCUAAGACCCCACUUGGG
rnacentral:rRNA from 1 species